rnacentral:sRNA from 1 species
UAUUUCAAGUUCUUUCGUUUUCAAAUCAUAAUUCAAAGUGACAGAGACAGAUGGAUAGAGAGAGAGAAAGAUAGAGAGAGAGGAAGAGCGGCAUGCAGCCUGAAAGUAUGCUAUGCGUCUUUAAGUUGCCGCUAACAAAGCAUUUGUUGUUUGUUUGUAUUUCUCUUGGAGACUACGCGUGUAGUUUGAAUAUACUUAGAUAGUUAUAAAAAUGUGUUAACAAAAUCAAUUAAGGAUGCAAAUAUGUAAUCGCUUUAUAAACUUAGUUGCACGACCAGUUACCAAAGAAAACUAAACAAUAGAAAAACACCAAUCCCAAUGUGUGGGUACGUAAAGAAAGAAGUGUGUCUUCAAACGCGUCGUUAGUGUUUUAUGCAAUAAUAAUAUGGAACGAAAAAAUAAUAACAAAAGGAGUGAAAAAUAAUUUUACAAACAUAUGUAUAUAAAGGAAUGUUCUGCUCAAAAACCAAGACAAUUAUUGGUGUCUUUCACAAGUUCAAUUGAAAGUUAAUGUGUAAAUAAAUGUGUAUGUACGAGUGUAUAAUAAA